UAUUAGGUUGGUGCAAAAGUAAUUGUGCUUUUUGCCAUUUAAAGUAAUGGCAAAACCACAAUUACUUUUGCACCAACCUAAUA
rnacentral:pre_miRNA from 4 species